rnacentral:rRNA from 1 species
AACGAACGCUGGCGGCAGGCUUAACACAUGCAAGUCGAGCGCCCCGCAAGGGUAGCGGCAGACGGGUGAGUAACGCGUGGGAAUCUACCCAUCUCUACGGAAUAACGCAUGGAAACGUGUGCUAAUACCGUAUACGUCCUUCGGGAGAAAGAUUUAUCGGAGAUGGAUGAGCCCGCGUUGGAUUAGCUAGUUGGUGGGGUAAGGGCCUACCAAGGCGACGAUCCAUAGCUGGUCUGAGAGGAUGAUCAGCCACACUGGGACUGAGACACGGCCCAGACUCCUACGGGAGGCAGCAGUGGGGAAUAUUAGACAAUGGGCGCAAGCCUGAUCCAGCCAUGCCGCGUGAGUGAUGAAGGCCCUAGGGUUGUAAAGCUCUUUCACCGGUGAAGAUAAUGACGGUAACCGGAGAAGAAGCCCCGGCUAACUUCGUGCCAGCCGCCGCGGUAACAC